AUUGAACGCUGGCGGCAGGCCUAACACAUGCAAGUCGAGCGGAUGAAGGGAGCUUGCUCCUGGAUUCAGCGGCGGACGGGUGAGUAAUGCCUAGGAAUCUGCCUGGUAGUGGGGGAUAACGUCCGGAAACGGGCGCUAAUACCGCAUACGUCCUGAGGGAGAAAGUGGGGGAUCUUCGGACCUCACGCUCUCAGAUGAGCCUAGGUCGGAUUAGCUAGUUGGUGGGGUAAAGGCCUACCAGGGGGACGAUCCGUAACUGGUCUGAGGGGAGGAUCAGUCACAGGGGAGGUGGGAGGCGGCCCGGGCUCCGAGGGAGGCAGCAGUGGGGAAUAUUGGACAAUGGGCGAAAGCCUGAUCCAGCCAUGCCGCGUGUGUGAAGAAGGUCUUCGGAUUGUAAAGCACUUUAAGUUGGGAGGAAGGGCAGUAAGUUAAUACCUUGCUGUUUUGACGUUACCAACAGAAUAAGCACCGGCUAACUUCGUG
rnacentral:rRNA from 1 species